GGUAGGGUAGCCGAGUGUUUAAGGCAGCGGGUUGUAGCCCUGAAGACAGAGGUUUAAGUCCUCUUCCUAUC
rnacentral:tRNA from 1 species